CUCAUGUACGGUUCUGUAAAGGGACAGUAAGGGUGACUUAUCUGUCGACUUUUCCACUAUCAACCCCAAAAACCCAACUCUGCCUUACGUAAAGUUGCCAGAGUACGAUUAACCUCUCCGCCUAUAAAGCUCUUUUGUCGAGUGCGCGAUCAUGACAGGACUCGAGGAAGAAGCCCCGGCUAACUCCGUGCCAGCAGCCACGGUAAGACGGGGGGGGCAAGUGUUCUUCGGAAUGACUGGGCGUAAAGAGCACGUAGGCGUGAAUCGGGUUGAAAGUGAAAGUUGCCAAAAAGUGGCGGAAUGCUCUCGAAACCAAUUCACUUGAGUGAGACAGAGGAGAGUGGAAUUUCGUGUGUAGGGGUGAAAUCCGUAGAUCUAUGAAGGAACGCCAAAAGCGAAGGCAGCUCUCUGGGUCCGCUCCGCGCCACUUACUCGGGACUAUAUAGUUCUGUCUAUAGCUAGUGCUUACUUU
rnacentral:ncRNA from 1 species